rnacentral:misc_RNA from 1 species
AAAAUAUAUUCUUAUCUACACCUUCAAUUUUAGUUUUUUUCUCUAAUCAAAAUUUGGAAAAGUAGAAAAAACUUGGAAAAGGGCUUGAAAACGCCAAUUUGGGCGUAUCUUUGGAGUUUCAUAAAUCAGGUAAUUCUAAGAAAUUGAAGAGGAAAAAUUACAUAAAAGCAAAUGUGAAGAAAAUAAGACAUAUUCAGUCAAAAGCAAAACAACCAGAGGAUGAAUCCAUUCAGAAGAAUGCGACUGCGACCAAUAAUCAGCGGUUGAAAAGUGUCAAAUCUACCACUAAGAAGUCCAUCAAGAAAAUUGGCCAAGAAAAUAGGAAUCCAAGAGCUGAUAGACUAUCGACCAAAUCGCAAUUGAAUCUUCCCAACGAUAAUGCAGUUUCACUUUGUAUGAAGAAGUUUAUUGAGAAUAUCAAGGUAUCAAGAAAUGUAUCGGAAUCACGUUUGAGGAAGAAAUCAACAUGCAAUAGCAAUUCAUCAUCACUUGAAAGUGAAUCCUCCAGAAGUUCACUGGAUAGUUUAGAUUUGCAAGAGAAUGCUCAAACUAACAUUGGCAAUAAAACAGUUUGUAAUGUUAAACCACAAAGAGUACCAACUAAAAAUCCGACAUCGAACAAAACAUCAGCAAAGACUCCGAAGAAGGUACCACCAAAAGAAUUUGAAAUUGUAAAAACAAUAUUCCGUCCACCAAAUCAUUCAAAAGCGUACAAAAAUGAAGGAUGCCAAACAGCAGAAGAAGCCAGUGAGUCAAUAAGCAGCACAGUCCUCUUCAGAUAUCCAAGUAAUG